AAUAUUGGACAAUGGGGGCAACCCUGAUCCAGCCAUGCCGCGGGUGUGAAGAAGGUCUUCGGAUUGUAAAGCACUUUAAGUUGGGAGGAAGGGCUUUAGGUUAAUACCCUGAAGUUGUGACGUUAACAAAAGAAUAAGCAGCGGCUAACUCUGUCGCAGCAGCUGUGGUUACACAGAGAGUGUAAGCGGUAAUCGGAAUUACUGGGCGUAAAGCGCGCGUAGGUGGUUCAGUAAGAUGGGUGUGAAAUCCCCGGGCUUAACCUGGGAACUGCUUUCAUAACUGCAGAGCUAGAGUACGGUAGAGGGUAGUGGAAUUUCCUGUGUAGCGGUGAAAUGCGUAGAUAUAGGAAGGAACACCAGUGGCGAAGGCGACUACCUGGACUGAUACUGACACUGAGGUGCGAAAGCGUGGGGAGCAAA
rnacentral:rRNA from 1 species